GAGUUUGAUCGUGGCUCAGGACGAACGCUGGCGGCGUGCUUAACACAUGCAAGUCGAGCGGAAAGGCCCUUUCGGGGGUACUCGAGCGGCGAACGGGUGAGUAACACGUGAGUAACCUGCCUCUGGCUUUGGGAUAACCCUCGGAAACGGGGCUAAUACCGAAUAUUCAGCUUCAAGGGCAUCUUUGGGGUUGGAAAGUUUUUCGGCUAGGGAUGGGCUCGCGGCCUAUCAGCUUGUUGGUGGGGUAAUGGCCUACCAAGGCGGCGACGGGUAGCCGGCCUGAGAGGGCGACCGGCCACACUGGGACUGAGACACGGCCCAGACUCCUACGGGAGGCAGCAGUGGGGAAUAUUGCACAAUGGGCGGAAGCCUGAUGCAGCGACGCCGCGUGAGGGAUGACGGCCUUC
rnacentral:rRNA from 1 species